rnacentral:rRNA from 1 species
AUGGACGUCGUGGGCGCAGCGUCAUGGCUUGUCCAGGUCGUGCUGGAGAAGCUCGUCAGCGAUGGCAUGGACGCCGCCUGGGCCGCGGCGCGCGUGGCCGACCCCAACCCCGACCCCGGAGGCGACAUCCACCGGCUCCGCUCCCGCCUGCAAGGCCUCCACCUCGUCCUCUCCGCAGCCCAGGAGCGCGUGCCCAGGGCGCGCAGCGAGGCCCUGCUCGGCUCCCUGCGCCGCCUCCACGGGCUUGCCAGCGACGCCGACAACCUGCUCGACGAAAUGCUCUACCACCAGAUCCACCGCCAGCUCCAUCCGGAUGAGGGGAGCGAGACUUGCUCCUCGUCGUCAGUCGUCCAGUCAGUGGUCUCCAAGAUUCGUGGUGCUAAAAGGGCACGAAUUGGUGGGGACGAGGAUGCCAGCACCGGUCGAAUUGAUGAGAUCUUGAAGCAAAUGUGUGAAGCUGGAGAUGAUGUUCGUGAGGCGCUCAAGAUGGAGAAGCUGGACCUUGUUUUCACCCGCGGAGGUCAUGAUGCUGGUAUGGAUCGCCGGGGCCCGACAACAGCUUUUGUUACCGAGCCGAAGAUAUUUGGGAGGGAUGCCGUGAAGGAGCGCAUUGUGGAGACGCUGGUGAGUGCUGAGGCUUGUGGUGUCGAUUUGUCAGUCCUUCCGAUUGUUGGCAAUGGUGGUGUUGGGAAAACUACUCUAGCACAACUCGUUUAUAACGACGCAAGAGUGAAAGGUUGCUUCAGCAAGCGGAUAUGGAUCUCGGUGUCUGCUGACUUUGAUGAAGUAAGGCUCACACGUGAGAUGCUGGACUGCGUGUCAACUGGUGUGAGCAAGCAUGAAGGAAUCACAAAUCUGAAUAAAUUGCAAGAGAUUCUUGAUGAGGAUUUGAAGUCGAAGCGCAUGCUGCUUGUUUUGGACGAUAUGUGGGAGGACAGUGAUAAAAGUCGCUGGGACAAGCUAUUAGCACCACUAAGAUGUUCAAUGAAUGGCAAUGUGAUCUUGGUCACAACUAGAAAUCACUCUGUCGUGAAAAUGAUUUCUACUGUGGACCCUAUACAUUUAGAUGGCCUGAAAGAUGAUGACUUUUGGCUUAUGUUCAAGUCAUGUGCAUUUGGUGAUGAGAAAUAUGAAGGACAUCCAGGUUUACAGGUUAUUGGGCAGCGGAUAGCCAACAAGUUGAAGGGUUACCCCUUAGCUGCAAAAAGUGUUGGUGCACUGUUGAAAAGAAACCUUGAUGGUGGGCACUGGAUGUCAGUUUUGCAAAGUGAUGAAUGGAAGCUGCAGCAAGGGCCGGAUGAUAUCAUCCCUGCAUUGAAACUUAGUUUCACACACUUGCCUUUCCAUCUCCAAAGGUGUUUUUCUUAUUGUGCACUAUUUCCUAAAGGUCACAUGUUUGAUGGGAUGGAAUUGGUUCGCAUUUGGAUAUCACAAGGUUUUAUUCCUUCUGGAAGUAAGAGAAUGGAGGAGACUGGUUAUCAUUACUUGAAUGAUUUAGUGGACCGAGGUUUUUUUCAAAGAAGCACAUACUAUUCUAUGCAUGAUCUGAUUCAUGACCUGGCACAUAUAGUUUCUUUAGACGAAUGUCAUAUGUUGGAAAAUUUUGAUUCAAGAAGUGGAACAUGUCACCCAACUAUUCGACACCUAUCUAUCAAUACAAGAUCUGCUUAUAAGUGGAACACAAGUGCCCGUCAUUAUUCUCCCAACGAUAACUUUCAGAGAAAGCUGGCUUACAUUGGUGGAAAAGUGCAGACCAAAACGUUGAGCACAUUAAUGUUAUUUGGGAAGUAUGAUGAAGGGUUUUCUGAAACUUUUUCCAAGGUAUUCAAAGAGGUGCAGCAUCUUCGCGUUUUGAGGCUAUCCGUACUAACUUGCAGCAUAGACACUCUUCUUAGUGACUUUGGCAAAUUGAUCCAUCUUCGCUAUCUUGAACUAAUAUCAAGUGGACCAGGUGGACCCUUGCCAGAGGUUAUAUGUCGACUUUAUCAUCUCCAGGUUCUUGAUGUAGAGUAUUGGGUGGAUCUUUCUGCUUUACCACUUGGCAUGAACAAUCUUUUGAACUUGAGGCAUUUUGUUGCUCGAGGCGAAUUGCAUGCAAAGAUUGCUGGAGUUGGAAGGCUAAAGUUCCUCCAAGAAUUGAAGGAAUUCCGAGUGGGAGAGACUGAAGACUUUCAGAUUGAACAGUUGAAUGGGUUAAAAGAAUUGGGAGGAUCUCUUGCAAUUUACAAUCUGGAGAAUGUGGGUAGUAGGGAGGAGUCUAAGAAUGCUGGAUUAAGGGACAAGAUAUACAUCCAUGAUCUGUUGCUUUCAUGGUGUAAGAAUCGGUUUGGUGUGAGUUCUAUUACAGAGGCAGAGGUGCUUGAGGGUCUUCUUCCAAGUUGUGGGCUCAAGCGCCUUCAUAUAACUAGUUAUGGAGGUAUUUGUUCCCCGACAUGGUUGAGCUCCAAUUUUUCACUCACCAGCUUAGAGUCCAUCUAUCUUGAGAAUUGCACAAAAUGGGAGAUACUUCCGCCACUUGGGCAAUUUCCACUUCUUAAAACACUACAUUUGGUACAGUUGUCUGCUUCAACAGAAGUACCAGUUAUGUCCUGUGACGAUUGGACUGGGUCUGAAAAGCAUGUCAUUUUUCCAUGUCUAGAAGAACUUACAAUAAGAGAUUGCCCUAAACUAAGGUUAUUUGCAUUACCUCAAUGUUCUUCCAGUGACAAAGGCUUUCACUCAUUUUGUUGCCUCCGUCGUGUUAACAUUUACAACUGUCCUCAGCUAGUUGACUUACCCCAGUUUGGUGAGAUGAAAUCUCUAUCCAUAAUGUCUAUUGAGGGAGUAGGAUCAUUUCCUGACAUCAGAUUAUUUGUGCGAGCAUUACAUAUCAAAGGGAGUGCUAGUGUGAGAACCUUGGAUGAGAUAUUAACAUCAAUUUUGACUUACUACAGGCUUAGCGGGCUUGUGAAAUUAACAAUUGCAAGCUUCCUUGAUCUAGCAUAUUUGCCCUGGGAAAAUUUCAGCCGACUUCUCUCCUUGGAGAUGCUGGUAAUUAUGGAUUGUCCAAAGUUUUUCUUGCCUGCUUAUUCGUAUGAUCAAGGAGUCCCAUCUUUGCUCAAGAAGCUUGUAAUCCAAGAAUGUGGUAUAACCGGGAAGCAGUUAUCUGACUUGCUGUUGCAACUGCCCUUCCUUUAUUUCUUGACUAUUGGAAGCUGUCCAAAAAUAGCAUCCUUGGCAGUUGGUGGUCUGAUUACUGGGAAUUUCAGCUCCUCAACAUCUUACAACCACUACUGGACAAUUGAUGGCUUGUUGCAAAUCCCACCUGACCUCUUAAAUCGGCUUGAGUAUUUGUGCAUAGAAGACUUCCCAGAUCUGGUUCUUCUGUGCAAUGAAGGCUUUCUUGGAUUUAUCUCACUCAAAACACUGCACAUAACAGGGUGCCCACAAUUUUUUUCUAUAAUGACAGAAAAAGAAUCCAGUGACAGCUGGUCCCUCCUACCACCAUCGAUACAAGACCUUAUGGUUACUCACAUGGAUAACAGGUUGCUGUCUUUCAUGCUUUCUAAUCUCACCUCAUUGUCCAUCUUGGCAAUAUCACGGAGUCCAGGGCUGACAUCUAUUGUUCUCCAUUCUUGCACAUCUUUAGAAACAAUUAUUAUUGAGAAAUGUGCUAGGUUAUCUGCUCUGGACAGCAUGGGGUCUCUCUGCAGCAUCAAGCACAUGCGGAUAUUUGAAUGUCCCAGUUUAGCUAUACCGUGCGGCCCUUCAUCUCCAGAUGGGCAGAACAAGGAUCUGUACUUUUUACUGCAUCUAGAGAAGCUUGAGAUUGAUAAUGCUUCAUUCUUUAGCACAACAAUUUGCAAGAGCCUCCCCUCUCUCCAACAUGUGGUGUUUUUCAUGGCGAAGAAUGUGAGAUCGUUCACAGAAGAACAAGACAAAGCACUUUGUCACCUUACAUCUCUUCAUAUUCUUGAUUUUUGCUAUUGCUCUGAUCUCAUAUCGCUGCCUAAGGAACUGCAUCGUCUUUCUUCCGUCAAGAAACUAUCUAUCAAGGCUUGUCCAGGAAUUCUAUCAUUACCAGAAAUGGGCCUGCCGGCUUCCCUGCAGGAGCUGUAUGUGAGCAACUGCAGUACAGAACUAAAGGAACAGUGCAGAAAGAUAAAAAACGUUAGAUGCGUUUAUGUUGAUAGACAUGCAAGCAAGUUCAUAACUAUAUGCAAGAUGUUACGGCUGUAUUUUAGGAACCAGAAAAAGUGA